rnacentral:pre_miRNA from 12 species
CGGCCAGCCCCAUCUGGAAGACUAGUGAUUUUGUUGUUGUCUCGCUGCAUCAGCAACAAGUCCCAGUCUGCCGCAUGGUGUGGGCCC